GACGAACGCUGGCGGCGUGCUUAACACAUGCAAGUCGAACGAAGUGGCGAACGGGUGAGUAACGCGUAAUCAACCUGCCCUUCAGAGGGGGACAACAGUUGGAAACGACUGCUAAUCCCGCAUACUGAAGGAGGGGUUUGCGUCUGAUUAGCUAGUUGGUGGGGUAACGGCCCACCAAGGUGAUGAUCAGUAGCCGGGCUGGGAGGUGGAACGGCCAAAUUGGGACUGAGACACGGGCCAGACUUCUUAGGGAUGCAGCAGUGGGGAAUCUUCCGCAAUUGACGAAAGUCUGAAGGAGCAACGCCGCGUGAGUGAUGACGGCCUUCGGGUUGUAAAGCUCUUUUAAUCGGGGCGCGGUACCGGAAUAGAAAGCCACGGCUAACUACGUGCCAGCAGCCGCGGUAAUUC
rnacentral:rRNA from 1 species